UAGGGAAUCUUCGGCAAUGGGGGCAACCCUGACCGAGCAGCGCCGCGUGAGUGAAGAAGGUUUUCGGAUCGUAAAGCUCUGUUGUAAGAGAAGAACGUGUGUGAGAGUGGAAAGUUCACACAGUGACGGUAACUUACCAGAAAGGGACGGCUAACUACGUGCCAG
rnacentral:rRNA from 1 species